rnacentral:lncRNA from 1 species
UACGAAUGUAACAUGAAUCCUCACUAACAAGACAACCUCUCAAAAUAACAUCUCUGAACCACUGCCCAUGGGGUGAAUGAUAGGAAAGAAUGUGACAACCCUCCAUGCAGUGACGUGUGAGAAACCACCACUCAAGGUGGAACAAAGAUAAUGUCGAGUAAGUAAUGAUGUGAGAAAAGACAAAGAACGAAUAUCGCAAGUGGUGAUAUGUGAUAUCGGAAAAUAGUGAUGAAAUGAUGACCAAGUGGAAGAUAUCACAAUGAAGAGUGAGGAAUGAGACCCGAAUAUGUGUGCCAGGUCUAGAACUCAUGACGUAUCCAAACAUAGCAUCCAAGCACUACAGGAUCCCCAACCCGGUGUAAUAGGUAAAUGAGGU